CCGGCCGUCAAUGACCGACAGCUCUUUGACCUUGCGGGAAGCCAGGUAGAUGUCCUCGGUGGAGCCCAGCUCUUUCUGCAACCAACAAGUCAAGUGGACGGUUGAGAAUCAACUCCCACUCCUACUGCCCAACCCAGAGGCCUUCCUCAGGCUUAUGCUGAGAAGCUGGUUGCAAACCCCCAGAGGGAACAGUUACUGACUCCUAGGGACUUCAGGUACAGCCCAAGGUGCCCAGGUAAAGAGCAUCCACAAGUUCAGAGGUAUGGAAACUGAGGCAGAACUCUCUCCUCUGAGUCCCAGCAGGCAGAUUCCAGAGAAACCAUUGAUCCCGCCCCACUCCUUCUCUUGGGCCCCUAGUGAGGUAGACAGGAGGCUGUCUAGUGUGUUGUUCUUCCUCUGGGAGGUCCCUCUUGCACAGCUUCAGGGGCCACCUUGCAUGGUUAUGUUUGUGAAUUGUGUAGUGCCUACCCUGUGUGUCCUUACAGGAAAGGCUCUCCUUUGGCCUGCUGUGUAAGACAGUAGACCUAGAAGCCUUCUCCUCAUUCCAGGAGACAUUGACCUCCACUGCUGCCAGGGGUCUAUUUGAUUACCUCCCUCUGCUACAUUUCCUCUUUCUCUUUGGGGGGUCCUCUCCCAUACCACCCUGUAUGAAUGGGGGAUAAGGUAGAAGGUGGAAUGGACAAGUCCUCUCUGUCUGGCCCAGUACAGAGCAGCAGCCCGGGACAGCAGUUAACAGUUGGAGUGGUCAGAGCCCCGAGAGUAACUCACCUGCUGAGAAGGAUUAGUUAUCAGCUCCUAGGCGGCAGCCACAGCCAACAGAGAAUUAAACAUGCACAACAUUAGCCAAGACAUUUGGGGACCCAGAAAUAGCAUGACAGACAGGGGGAUCCCUCAGCAUCUACACUGUCCACUUUGUCCCAGUGAGACCCAUGGUUGGAGACAGGCACCCGUAAGCGGCACUAGACAGGAGCUGCUUCUAGCAGACACGCACUCUGAGAAGCCAAACAAAGCGGAGAUCAGGCAGCUCCUCCCCUCUGCCCAGUGGGACCACCACUCCCCAGUCAGCACAGACCAAACCCCUGAGUUCUCCCACCCCAGGCUUUGCUGCCUGUUCUUCCUUUUCCUCUGCUGAAAAUGUGCAGAGAGGGUAGAGGACAUUCCUCCAUCCUGGGAUGAGUUCACCUUUCUAAAUAGGGGAGGAGUCACAAAUGAACUCUAUCUGGAAGCUCCAGAAAGUUGUGUUUAUUGAGGCAGAGGAAAGCAGGUGUCCUUGAAUUUGCUCACUGUCCCUCAUCUGUCCUUUGAUGUACAAUGGGAACUGAAGAGGCACAGCCCACACCUCUGUUCUCCCUGACACUGAUGGAGUGGAAGCUACCAACUCAAAACCCGCAUGGGGCAUAGAGAAGACCAUGACUCCCAGGACCUCCCCCGCCCCACAACCAGCUGUGAGAGGAGGAAACAAGGUCCAGAAUCCGAAAUACCUGCAUGUCAUCAAUCUCAUUCCAUACGGUGCCAGGGACACGCUCCUAAGAGUCAGGCCCACCCCCAGCUUCUAGCAUCUGCCAGAAGGACUGGAGGCUCUUCGAGGAGGUAUAACUGAGGUCCGGAACCAGAAAGUGGUUGUUCCUAACAUUCCCUACAUGUUGACACUCACCACGUUGCCCUGAUGUGCCCACCUUGCAUAAUUCUCGAAUUUGAUUUUCUCACCACUCUGGCCAACAGCCCAUCAUCUCUAGUCUAGACUCCUGGGACUUCUGCCCGCUGGAGAUAUCCUUCACAUGCCAGGGAAAGCCUUCUCAAAAGCAUGUUUCGUUAUGUUUCCCCCGUGGUGCACUGCCUUUGGGGUCAGGCAGGCCUAGCCUGCUGACGCUCCCAGCCCUACCAUUUUGUGGGACUGUGGGAAGAUGGAGGGAUGAGAUUUUUCUCCCAUGUUACAUAAAAGGAAACUGAGUCUCCAUGAUUUUUUUUACCUCACCAAGUUGAUGUGAGAAUUAAGUGAGAUAACAUACUUCCAACAUACAUGGUAGGGCCACUAAUAAUAACCUUUUAU